rnacentral:rRNA from 4 species
AACUUUCAACAACGGAUCUCUUGGUUCUGGCAUCGAUGAAGAACGCAGCGAAAUGCGAUAAGUAAUGUGAAUUGCAGAAUUCAGUGAAUCAUCGAAUCUUUGAACGCACAUUGCGCCCGCCAGUAUUCUGGCGGGCAUGCCUGUUCGAGCGUCAUUUCAACCAUCAAGCCCCCGG